GGGGAAUAUUGCACAAUGGGCGCAAGCCUGAUGCAGCCAUGCCGCGUGUGUGAAGAAGGCCUUCGGGUUGUAAAGCACUUUCAGCGGGGAGGAAGGCGAUAAGGUUAAUAACCUUGUCGAUUGACGUUACCCGCAGAAGAAGCACCGGCUAACUCCGUGCCAGCAGCCGCGGUAAUACGGAGGGUGCAAGCGUUAAUCGGAAUUACUGGGCGUAAAGCGCACGCAGGCGGUCUGUCAAGUCGGAUGUGAAAUCCCCGGGCUCAACCUGGGAACUGCAUUCGAAACUGGCAGGCUAGAGUCUUGUAGAGGGGGGUAGAAUUCCAGGUGUAGCGGUGAAAUGCGUAGAGAUCUGGAGGAAUACCGGUGGCGAAAGCGGCUCUCUGGUCUGUAACUGACGCUGAGGCUCGAAAGCGUGGGGAGCAAAC
rnacentral:rRNA from 1 species